rnacentral:rRNA from 1 species
CUCCAGGUGAUCCUGCCGGACCCGACUGCUAUCAGAGUGAGAUUAAGCCAUGCGAGUUAACGUAGCAAUACGUGGCGCACGGCUCAGUAACACGUAGUCAACAUGCCCAGAGGACGUGGAUAACCUCGGGAAACUGAGUCUAAACCGCGAUAAGUGAGGAUUUCUGGAAUGGUUCCUGACUAAAAUCUAUAUGGCCUCUGGAUUGGACUGCGGCCGAUCAGGCUGUUGGUGAGGUAAUGGCCCACCAAACCUGUAACCGGUACGGGCUCUGAGAGGAGGAGCCCGGAGAUGGGCACUGAGACAAGGGCCCAGGCUCUAUGGGGCGCAGCAGGCGCGAAACCUCUGCAAUAGGCGAAAGCCUGACAGGGUUACUCUGAGUGAUUUUCGCUAAGAAAGUCUUUUGGCACCUCUAAAAAGGGUGCAGAAUAAGGGGUGGGCAAGUCUGGUGUCAGCCGCCGCAGUAAUACCAGCACCCCGAGUGGUCGGGACGAUUAUUGGGCCUAAAGCAUCCGUAGCCGGUUCUGCAAGUCCCCCGUUAAAUCCAGCUGCUCAACAGAUGGGCCGCGGAGGAUACUACAGAGCUAGGAGGCAGGAGAGGCAAGCGGUACUCAGUGGGUAGGGGUAAAAUCCGUUGAUCCAUUGAAGACCACCAGUGGCGAAGGCGGCUUGCCAGAAUGCGCUCGACGGUGAGGGAUGAAAGCUGGGGGAGCAAACCGGAUUAGAUACCCGGGUAGUCCCAGCCGUAAACGAUGCAGACUCGGUGAUGGGUUGGCUUCGCGCUAACCCAGUGCCGCAGGGAAGCCGUUAAGUCUGCCGCCUGGGUAGUACGGUCGCAAGACUGAAACUUAAAGGAUUGGCGGGGGAGCA